GAAUCCAUUUUACUACGCACAUGCCAAGUUUGGAUAACUGGUAAAUUGGUGGCGAGCCGAUGAAUCUGGACCAUUGGAUAUACAUUAGGUUUCUCUCUCUCGACAUCUUAAUGUGCCGAGUCCUUUUCUUUUCCUGCUCUUGUUCCGCCGCCGACUCCUCUCAUCUGUUCCACGCUGCCUCUUCCUCCUAGCGCCGCUGCUUUCUUUCUCAUCUCCGCCGCGGUCUCCCCUCCACCACGCCAUCCCAAUCUGCUGCAUCAUGAGUGGUUGUUGCUGCUCACUAUUGCCGUAGCACUGUACUGGGGGCAGAGGGAGAUUGGCGCUGGUGGUUGUCGCUGAUGCAAGGCAGGGAGAGAGGGAACGUGCAAGAGGAUAACAAGAGAAAGGUUCGAUAAAUUCUAGCGGCGAGCGUGUGGCGCCGAGUUCUCAACAAGGUUAAGGUACUCGCUAAUCAAGUUUGUAUGGGAUGGGAGUAGCCACUUCACGAUGAGCAUACACACACCUUUGCCAUUCAUUAAACAAAUCCCUAGGCUGAAUAAUUCUUUUGAUGUUAAGGAUUGUUGCAUGGUCAUUUGGUUGUCGCUUAAAAUUUAUUUAUUUGGUUGUGUUGGUUGAUGAGCAAGUUUAUUUACUAUCUUUCUAUUCACUUUGCUAUAUUUAUAUCUUAUGUGCCUCGGAUGUUAGAGUUUACAAAGGAGACUCUGCCAAAAUUUAUUAGAAUUUUUAAUAUUUAGUGCAAUUUAAUGUUUUUAAUAGUAACCUCCAAGUAUGUCAUUACUUGGGGCGUUACAGCUAACUUCAUGUUCCAGUACCUUUAUUUGAAUACGUCUUCAUGAAUUGAUGUCACCUCCAUUAGUUGAAUGACCACCAAAAAGCAUAUUGGCUUGCGAUGAUUUAGAUGACACAAGUUGUGUCGUGACAAAAGAGAAUUAUAUUCGACAGACAAGGAGCAUUGAAUUUUAAUCCUAUCUCAUGCUGCUGAGCAAACCACCAAAACAUCAUAACAUACAAAAUUUGAACAAAAUAACAGCUAUUUUUUGAAAAAUGAAAAAGAAUCAUGUAAAGCACCCUUACUUGGCUACAUGGCAACAAUUGUGCCUCAACUAUAUGAAAAAAGACUUAUGUUUACUCACUUAUUUGGAUCCUAGUACACACAGUUACCUUUUGGACACAUAAACAAAGAAAAACAUGAAAAUGACUUAAGCAUGACGGAGAAAUAACGAUAUUUGCACCAAAAGGAAAAGAUGAGUAAAAUGCAGACGACAAUGUUAUACCUUUUUUAUCUUGUCAGUGAGAUUCAGUGGUUGAAUUACCUAUGUCGACCAUAUAUAAAAAAAGAUACACUUGUAGUCAAGAGAUCUGCAUAACAUGACACACAUGCAUUUAACUAAAUAUCAUCUUAGCAUUAUAGUUGUUUAAUAAUGCCUCUGCUAAGAGCUAACGCUAUGCCACAUUUAGUAAUGCAAAUCAAAUGAAAAUACCCUAUCUCAACAUUGAUCAUUGCACUGAGCCACUGGCAUCAAUUCUUCUUGUUCAGCUAUAGGCAUGUGAUAGCUUCUACCUUCUAGAAACAUUUACUACCUUGAAUCCUAGGCACUAAAAAACUCAAAACAAUACAGGUCUAGAGUAUCAAAUUGGAAACUCACAAAAAGAAAAAUAUAAAUUAAUUCUCAAUCAAGCAACCAGGAAUUUGGCAGGCACUGAACGAAAUAACUAUCAUGUUGCUUUAGAUUUACAGUGGUGCAUAGCAAAAGGCCAGCGAAGACCUUGGUAAAACAAAAAAAGUGGGCCACCUCACGAGCUCAGUUGCUGUGGCAAUUUCCUGCUCUCCUUUAGUCCUUUCCGCCUUUCUUAUUUCUUAUUCUUUCAAAGGCCCGAGUGCUUUACAGUACCGUAUGAAGAAGUUAAAUUCAUUGUUCAAUUUCUUUUCAACUACAAGCACAUCUGUUGAACCAAUAAAUUGCACACAGUCUGAACCAUGGUAAGUAUAGAAAUUUGCAUUUUUGCAAUGCUUAUAGAGUUGCAUUCGAGAGUCAAAGGGUCAUCAAGCAAACGUCAAUCAUGCACUAAGCAGCUUGCAUUUCUGCUGCAAUGACAAGAAUUACAUUUCUAGAAUUGAUCCAGAUAAUUACACAAGAAGCUAAGAACUAAAAUAUGCCUUUGCAUCCACGUUUACUUUGAAGCAUCAUAAUACUUCCUAAUUCAUAAAUUAGCCAACAAAUUAAACAAUUGAACAAACGAAGACAUCAAGUAAAUCAGUCAAUUAGAUACAUGCCUUACCAACAAAACAGAUCGGAGGAGAGGGAGUCUUGACCCAUGCCGUGGGGGAGGAGCCGGAAUGGGGGAUCUGGACGCAGGCGUGGAGUCGGCGGCGCAGCGGGCUUGCGCCGUCCGUGGCGGAGUCACUGGUCUGCGGUGGAGGCGCCAGAGUUGGGGGCGGCCUCAGUCCGCGGGGUAGCGCCGGUCCAUAGGGGAGGCACUGGAGUUGGGGGAGGUGCUCCAGACGCUGGCGUAGAGGCGGCAGCGGCGGCGCCCGAGACGGCGCGACGACGCUGAAGUUGGGGGAGGCGCUGGAGUUGCGGCAGGCGCUCCAGACACGGGCGUGGAGGUGGUGGCGGCGUCCCGAGGCGGCCGCGUGGCGGCGAUCUAGAUCGCGGCGUGGAUUCGUGGGAGGAGGGGAGGGCCGUGCGGACGGAGAGGAGGGGACGGCAUGGGGGAGGCGGAGAGAAGGGGGAGCACAGGGGAGGCGGCGCAAGCGGAGGAUGAGGAGCGGAAGGGCGGUGGCGCUGACAAAGAUGGAGGAUGGUGCUGUGCGAUCCCGCUGAGCGUACAUCGGAGGGUCUGCCAUCGUUGAGCGAUGAGAAAGGGCGAUCAUACGGCCAAAAAUAUGAAAACAAAAAAAGUGACCCUUAGACUUUUUUUAGUAGCAGAGAAGAGAAGAGAAGAGAUAGUAGAAGAAAGGAGGAAGUCCAGAUUACACCCCUAAUCUCUUCAAAAAGUCCAGGUUUCAACCCUAUUGUAUGAAACCGGCUGGAUCUCAACCCCGACCUCCCGAAACCAGCCAGCCGCCCCUGUUUCCUCCCCACACCGUGGUUUUGGCCACGCUGGCUGCCAGCGCGGCUCUCCCCCGACCAAAUAGCCGCACCCGGGCCUCCCUCCAGUCGCUCUCUCUUCUAUCCUCUUCCUUCCCCAAAUCCCUUGCGGCUGGAACCCUAGGCGUGUAGGAAGAUGGCGAGCUCGAGUACUGGGAGUUCCUUCCGUUCAAGUGCUUCAGCAGCCCACGGCACCGGAGAAGAAGGCGUCCAUUCGUCACCCGUUGCUUACAGGGUGCGCCCACUGGAGUACGAGCCGCUCGUGUACUGUCAUUGCAAGCGGAAGGCGCCAAGAUGGAUUUCUUGGAGCAGUGAUAACCCCGGAAGGAGAUACUACACAUGCAUGAGGCGCCGGGAUGGUGGCUGCACAUUCUGGGAGUGGCACGAUGGCGUCACCCGUUGCGAAUGGUUGAAGGAAUUGUUGAUUGAUAUGAGGGACAAGAUCUGGGCAUUGAGAAGGGAGAAUUUACAUUUGACAGAUUCAAUUGCUGAUACAAGGGCAGAGUUGGACCAAAUGCUUUUCCAGGGAAGACAAGUAGAGCAGGCCUUGCGUCUGAAAUUAGCUGAAAAAGAUGCUGAGUUAGCUGCACUUGGUGAAAGGCUCAGGAGAUUUGACAAAGAAAGGGUUGUACUAAGGAUAACAAUUUUAACAUGUAUUUGUGUUUGUGUUGGAAUGUUGAUUAGGACUUUGUGAAGUACAUCAGUUUCAGUGUAAUGUAAUGGCAAUUCCAACCAAGUUAGUUCCAGCAUCGGUGACGUAGAUCAGUUCGAGCAAUGUAAUGUAUGUUCUGUUUAUGAAUGGAAAUCCUUUUCUUGUUUCAAA